GUGCUCGCUUUAGCAGCACAUAUACUAAAACUGGGACGAUACAGAGAAGAUUAGCAAAAUCCUUCAUCUAUUGUUGUUUUCAAUUUUAAUAUGAUCCAAAUUUCU
rnacentral:snRNA from 1 species